ACAAAGAGGCAUCAGACCUGAAAGAAGGACAAGCAACCGGAUGGUGAUUCAGAAGAGCAGCUCCCCAGUAAUGUGGAACACCCACUGCGCUUCAUUUUAAUUGCUUGCACAUUAAGUAGACAAGGUUGCAACUUGUUCCUUUUACGAAAACUCCAUUUUAGCUUUCCYGUAAUUUUGGCCUGAGGAAUUCCACCUGAAUCUUGAGGUCAAAGGAGAACAUCCUACUGCACACAGACCUCGCCUGUUCAUGCAGCGAAAGUUU
rnacentral:lncRNA from 1 species